GAUGAACGCUGGCGGCAUGCUUAAUACAUGUAAGUCGAACGAAGUGCUUUUGUCUUCGGAUGAGAGUAUCUUAGUGGCGAACGGGUGAGUAACGCGUUGGUGACCUGCCCCGAAGUGUGGGAUAACAGUUCGAAAGGACUGCUAAUACCGCAUGCGAUCGCUUGGAUUAGAUGCCUUGCGAUCAAAGGAGUAAUCCGCUUUGGGAGGGACCUGCGUCCCAUCAGCUAGUUGGUAAGGUAAUGGCUUACCAAGGCGAUGACGGGUAGGGGACCUGAGAGGGUGGCCCCCCACAAUGGAACUGAAACACGGUCCAUACACCUACGGGUGGCAG
rnacentral:rRNA from 1 species